GUUUCAGAGGACAAAUCAUUAUUAUUGUGAUACUGCAUGCAAAAUUUGUUGGGCAAAUUCCAAAGUUUUGUAAAAAAAAAAUAAAAAAAAAAAAAAAUUAAAACAUCAUUUAAAGGGAAACCGGUACUACAAUAUAUUACAUUUCCCCAACAUUAGGUUGGCCUUUUGUGUACCCAAGGCAGAUGAAGGAAGUCAACUUAGAAACGCCGUGAUUGGAUGCAAGAGUACAAUAUAUUUUUUUUACUGAUCUAUGAAUAUUAAACUGCAGUGUGUAUAUUUACAAUAAAAAUUUAAAAACCCAUUGAAGAUUUUCUAGAGAAUAUUCGAAAAGACUUCCAAAAUUUCAUAAAUUUGGUGUAAAAUGACGGCGGG
rnacentral:lncRNA from 1 species